AAAGGGCAAGGCUUCUGGUUAAUCAGCAAGUUGGUUUAACUUACAAUGGUUGGCUUUCCCAUGAUAUUGGAUGGAAGGUAGUAGCUACAACAAGUGAAUGCCAAGGUUAAUACUCACCAGAAUGUCAGUAAUCUUCAUGAGCUGUUUUCACUCUGUUGUGCCUGAAGGACAUGCCCCUUUUUUGCAGGCAGUUGAUGGUCAGAAUCUCAUUCUUCACCCUCUAAACAUG
rnacentral:misc_RNA from 1 species